rnacentral:rRNA from 1 species
UACGUAGGGGGCGAGCGUUGUCCGGAUUUAUUGGGCGUAAAGAGCGUGUAGGCGGCCAGGUAGGUCCGUUGUGAAAACUCGAGGCUCAACCUCGAGACGUCGAUGGAAACCAUCUGGCUAGAGUCCGGAAGAGGAGAGUGGAAUUCCUGGUGUAGCGGUGAAAUGCGCAGAUAUCAGGAAGAACACCUAUGGCGAAGGCAGCUCUCUGGGACGGUACUGACGGCUGAGACGCGAAAAGCGUGGGGAGCGAACAGG